GAACCAGUUAUGACAGUUGUUCUCCAAACUUUUGCUUAUUCUAAUUUGAUUUUGUCUUUUUAGCCUGUUCCAGUUUUGCCGACUUUAACAAUGGGCUUGGUGUAUAUUUUUCUUUUCCUAACUUCAACCACGUACUUACACUUUUCCUUUUUGGUAAGCAAAUCUAAAUCUAGAGUGAUCAUCCGAUAGUCUUGAUUGCGAUUUGCGAUGCUUAUGAGUUCUCUAGUAAAUACCGGGGAGGGGAGAGAGAGAGAGAUUCUUUUUUGCUUUAAUAAAAAAAAAAAAAAAUAAGAAAAGCGUCGGUUAGCUUGUUCUUUGGCAGAAUUAAAGCAAAAGGAAAGCGGCUAGUGUCGAGUGAGAGGAAAAAGAGAGAAAUGGAUCAAAGUUGGCUUCUCUAAUUCUUUUCUUGAUGUUGGAGAAACUGAAAGACAGUUGCCCCACUCGAGCAAAAAAGAAUAAUCCUCUCUCUCUCUCUCAAUCAGCCUCUAACAAAAUGAGGACUUCCCCUCUGUUUCCCAUUUCGCCAAAAGCUCUGUCAUCCGCUUAUCAGCUGAAACCGAGCUCAACCAGGAGGAAAGAAGAAGAAGAACAACAGGGACGACUCUACGGAUGGCUACUCCGCCAGAGAUGGCGAGUACCAGUGGAACAAAGAAUGAUGGGUUGCCAAGAGCCAUCUCUCGGAAGAUGACGAGGUUGACUACAAUGGUCGAGACUCCAGAGGAUGAAAUUGCACUCGUUCCGCCGUCCCUCUCUGCGAUUGUGCCGAUUCUUCGCGUUGCCAAUGAGAUUGAGGCUGAAAAUCCGAGGGUUGCCUACCUCUGUCGCUUUCAUGCAUUUGAGAAGACUCACAAAAUGGAUUCUAAGUCAACUGGACGUGGUGUUCGUCAGUUCAAGACCUACUUGCUACAUAGGCUAGAAAAGGAAGAAGAGGAGACAAGUUAUCUAGCAAAAAAUGAUCCAAAGGAAUUACAGAGAUUCUAUCAAAAGUUCUAUGAAGAGAGAGUCAAAAAGGACCAACAUAAAAGACAACCUGCGGAGAUGGCCAAGAUCUAUCAGAUUGCUACAGUGUUGAAUGAUGUACUGAGAACAGUUUUACCUCUAGAGAAGGCUGAAGAUCUGAUAAACAGAUAUGGCAAAGAAGUUGAAAUGAAGAAGGAGCAUUAUGCACCUUAUAACAUUCUUCCCUUGUAUGCAAUUGGCACUAAACCAGCUAUUAUGGAAUUUCCUGAGAUCAAAGCAGCACUCAAUGCUUUACGUAAGGUGGAUCAUCUUCCCAAGCCAAGUGUUCAGUCACCAUCUAAUGAUGCAGAGGACAGAGAUAAAUCUAUCAAUGAUUUGCUUGACUGGCUUUCGUUAUAUUUUGGGUUUCAGAAAGGAAAUGUGGCAAACCAGAGGGAACACUUGAUAUUGCUACUUGCAAAUAUUGCAUUAAGGACUAAAGCCCAGCUGGAUGAUGCCACCGUACAACAUUUGUUGGAUAAGAUCUUCAAAAAUUAUCGGUCAUGGUGUAAUUACGUUCAUCGUGAAUCAAACCUCAAGUUUCCAAAGGAUACUGGCAAGCAACAGUUACAGCUUCUCUACAUUGGACUGUAUCUUCUUAUUUGGGGUGAAGCUUCAAAUAUUCGGUUCAUGCCGGAAUGUAUUUGCUAUAUAUUCCAUCAUAUGGCACAUGAAUUAUGUGGAGUUUUGCAUAGCAAUGUGCAUGAGGUCAGCGGAGGUACAUUCCGAUCAACACUCCAGGGUGAAGAGGCAUUUCUGCGGAAGGUUGUAAUGCCCAUCUAUCAGGUUAUGCGCAAGGAAGCCAGGAAGAACAAAGCUGGCAGCAGUCACUCAAAUUGGAGGAACUAUGAUGAUCUAAAUGAAUAUUUUUGGUCAGACAAGUGUUUUAAGCUUGGGUGGCCAAUGGACCUUAAAGCUGAUUUUUUUGUGCGUUCAGAUGAGCCACAAACUAGAAAUGAGCGACCGAAUUCUUUCGUUGCUGAAAAGAGGAAGCCCAAGACAAAUUUUGUUGAAGUUCGUACCUUUUGGCACCUUUUCAGAAGUUUUGAUCGAAUGUGGAUAUUCUUUAUAUUAGCUUUCCAGGCGAUGCUAAUUAUUGCUUGGAAUCCUUCUGGGUCUCUUGCUGCUUUCUUUGAUGAGGAUGUAUUUAAAAGAGUAUUGAGUAUUUUUAUAACUUCUGCUUUGCUCAAUUUCUUACAAGCUACUCUGGACAUAAUUCUUAAUUGGAAAGCUUGGGGAAGUUUGAAGUUUACCCAAAUUGCUCGGUACCUUCUGAAAUUUAUAGUUGCAGCUGUCUGGGUAGUAGUGCUGCCAAUAGGCUAUUCUAGCUCUGUGCAAAAUCCCACAGGACUAGUAAGAUUUUUCAGUGAUUGGGUUGGUAAUUGGCAAAACCAGUCAUUUUAUAACUAUGCUAUUGUGAUAUAUGCCAUUCCCAAUAUAUUGGCUGCACUACUGUUCAUGUUUCCAUUUUUACGGAGAUCCAUGGAGCGUUCAAGUUCGCGGAUUAUUGCUUUUCUUAUGUGGUGGGCCCAGCCAAAACUGUAUGUGGGAAGAGGCAUGCAUGAGGACGUAUUCUCACUUCUCCGAUAUACUCUAUUCUGGAUCCUUCUUCUAAUCAGCAAGUUAGCAUUCAGCUAUUAUGUUGAGAUAUUCCCUUUAGUUGAACCAACAAAGCUGAUCAUGGAGAUAGGAGUGAGUAGUUAUACCUGGCAUGAGUUCUUUCCCAAUGUAAAGCAUAAUAUUGGUGUUGUCAUUUCCAUAUGGGCACCUGUUGUUUUGGUGUAUUUCAUGGAUGCACAGAUAUGGUAUGCUAUCUUCUCCACCAUAUUUGGUGGUAUACAUGGAGCAUUCAGCCACCUGGGGGAGAUACGUACACUUGGGAUGCUAAGGUCUAGAUUUGAAUCUGUGCCAAUAGCUUUCACCGAACGUCUUGUGCCUUUACCAAAAGAUGAAAUGAAAAGUGAAAACCAGGGUAUCUUCUCUAGAAUUCUGGAAUGUCUUGUGCCUUCAUCAAAAGACAAAAUGAAAAAUGAAAACCAGCAUGAUGAACGAAAGAACAUUGCAAAAUUCUCUCAGCUGUGGAAUGAAUUCAUCAAUUCUUUGCGACAGGAGGACUUAAUCAGUAAUAGGGAGAAAAGCCUGCUUCUUGUGCCAUAUGCUUCAGGUUUUGUAUCUGUUGUCCAAUGGCCACCUUUUCUUCUUGCCAGUAAGAUACCUAUUGCAUUGAAUAUGGCAAAAGAUUUCAAGGGGAAGGAUGAUGCAGAUCUGUUUAAAAAGAUUAAGAAUGAUGAUUACAUGCUUUCGGCAGUGAUAGAAUGUUAUGAAACACUAAAGGAUAUACUACUUGGUCUUAUGAAUGAUGAUGCAGAAAAAAAAUUGAUUCGUGACAUAUGUGAGCACGUGGAUGUUAGCAUAAAGAAGAAAAUUUUCUUGAACCACUUCCGAAUGAGUGGGCUGCCUCUGCUUAAUGAAAAGUUGGAAAAAUUGCUAAACCUUUUGAAAGAAAAAGAUAUUGAGCUAUACCGGACCCAAAUCAUCAAUGUCCUUCAAGAUAUUAUGGAGAUCAUUGCUGAGGAUAUUAUGGUUAAUGGACCCGAUAUUACUUCAAAAUAUAAUCAACAUGGAGGUGACGGUCAAGAUGAAAUAUUGGAGGAGAAAUCCGAAAAUAUAAACCUCAGUGAAAAAAUGGAGCAGAAAUUUGAAAAAAUAAACCUCAGUCGUAUGCAAAGUAGAGAUUGGAUGGAGAAGGUUGUUAGGCUUCAUUUGCUUUUGACUGUAAAGGAAUCAGCAAUAAAUGUUCCCACGAAUUUGGAAGCUCGACGCCGAAUAACUUUCUUUACCAAUUCCUUAUUUAUGAAAAUGCCAAGUGCUCCAAAAGUCCGUGAAAUGCUUUCUUUCAGUGUCCUGACUCCAUAUUUCAAAGAAGAUGUUCUCUAUUCUGUGGAAGAACUUAGAAAGGAAAAUGAGGAUGGAAUAUCAACUUUAUUUUACCUACAGAAAAUAUAUCCUGAUGAAUGGAACAAUUUUAUGGAACGUAUAAAGGAUCCAAUUUAUGCUGGAAAAGAGAAGUCAGAAUUGGUUCGUCUCUGGGUAUCUCACAGAGGGCAAACUCUUUCUAGGACAGUGAGAGGGAUGAUGUACUAUAGGCAAGCACUAGAACUCCAAUGCUUUCUUGAGAUGGCAGAAGAUGAAGCUAUUUUUUCGGGUUACCGGACAAUUGAUAUGAAUAACAAUCAUGCUGAGGCUGUUGCUGCCCGUUCACAGGCUGUGGCUGAUAUGAAGUUCACUUAUGUUGUUUCUUGUCAGGUUUAUGGUAUGCAGAAAAAAUCCGGUGAUGCUCGAGACAAGAAUUCUUCUCAGAACAUUUUGAAUCUCAUGCAACAGUAUCCAUCAUUACGUGUUGCUUACAUUGAUGAGGGAGAGGAUACAGUGAACGGAAAAUCUGAAAAGGUUUAUUAUUCUGUGCUUCUCAAGGGAGCAGAUGAGGAAAUUUAUCGAAUCAAGCUCCCAGGUCCUCCAACAGAUAUUGGUGAAGGAAAACCAGAAAAUCAAAAUCAUGCCAUAAUUUUCACUCGUGGGGAAGCACUUCAGACCAUAGACAUGAAUCAGGAUAAUUACCUUGAGGAAGCCUUCAAGAUGAGAAAUGUUCUACAAGAGUUAGUAAAAUUACGUCGUAGACAACGGAAACCUACAAUCUUGGGUCUUAGGGAGCACAUUUUUACUGGAAGUGUUUCAUCCCUCGCUUGGUUCAUGUCCAAUCAGGAGACAAGCUUUGUAACUAUUGGGCAAAGGAUUUUAGCAAAUCCUCUUAGGGUGAGGUUCCAUUAUGGUCAUCCUGAUAUAUUUGACAGAAUUUUUCACCUGACAAGAGGUGGAAUAAGCAAAGCUUCAAAAGGAAUUAAUUUAAGCGAGGAUAUAUUUUCAGGAUUUAAUUCAACUCUUCGUGGGGGGUAUGUUACUCAUCACGAGUAUAUCCAAGUCGGAAAGGGUCGUGAUGUAGGAAUGAAUCAAAUAUCACUUUUUGAGGCUAAGGUGGCAAAUGGAAAUGGAGAACAGACAAUGAGCCGUGAAGUUUAUCGACUAGGACGUCGAUUUGACUUUUAUAGAAUGCUAUCAUUCUACUUUACCACAGUUGGUUUCUACUUUAGUAGCAUGGUUACUGUGCUUACUGUAUAUGUAUUCCUGUAUGGGCGUUUAUAUAUGGUACUCAGUGGUUUGGAAAAGAAUAUUCUUUUGAAUCCAACUGUCCAGCAAAGUAAAUCUCUUGAAGCUGCAUUGGCUACGCAGUCUGUCUUCCAGCUUGGCCUGCUGCUGGUGCUGCCCAUGGUGAUGGAAAUUGGCCUAGAAAGAGGGUUCCGAACUGCAUUGGGUGAUUUUAUAAUUAUGCAGCUUCAGCUGGCCUCUGUGUUCUUUACCUUCCAGCUUGGAACAAAAGCACAUUAUUAUGGGAGGACACUACUGCAUGGAGGUUCAAAAUAUAGAGCUACUGGUCGCGGGUUUGUUGUCUUUCAUGCCAAGUUUGCUGAUAACUAUAGGCUAUAUUCUCGUAGUCACUUUGUAAAGGGGUUGGAACUGACGAUUUUGCUGGUAGUGUAUGAAGUCUAUGGGAAGUCAUAUCGUAUUUCAAGUCAAUACUGGUUUGUUACUUACUCCAUUUGGUUCUUGGUUGCCUCAUGGUUAUUUGCUCCUUUUGUUUUCAAUCCUUCUGGGUUUGAGUGGCAAAAGACUGUAGAUGACUGGACUGACUGGAAAAGGUGGAUGGGCAAUCGUGGUGGUAUUGGGAUCCCACAAGAUAGAAGUUGGGAAUCCUGGUGGGAUGGAGAGCAGGAUCAUUUAAAACACACAGAUAUCCGUGGGCGAGUGCUUGAAAUACUACUGGCAUGUCGGUUCUUGAUCUACCAAUAUGGCAUUGUCUACCAUCUUAAUAUAUCCCAUCGUAGCCAGAGUCUUUUGGUGUAUGGACUUUCUUGGUUGGUAAUGGUUACUGUUCUGGUGGUUUUAAAGAUGGUAUCAAUGGGUAGACGAAGAUUUGGUACCGACUUUCAGCUCAUGUUCAGAAUCCUCAAGUUGCUUCUCUUCCUUGGCUUCGUGUCUGUCAUGACCGUCUUAUUUGUAGUCUGUAGCCUCACAAUUUCUGAUGUAUUUGCUGGAAUUCUUGGAUUUAUGCCCACUGGGUGGUCACUUCUACUUAUUGGGCAAGCAUGCAGACCCUGCAUGAAGGGAGUUGGUUUCUGGGAUUCAAUAAAGGAGCUAGCAAGAGCAUACGAAUAUGUGAUGGGGAUCAUAGUCUUCAUGCCAAUAGUCGUUUUAUCAUGGUUCCCAUUUGUUUCAGAGUUCCAGACACGUUUACUCUUUAACCAAGCAUUCAGUAGAGGUCUGCAGAUAUCUAUGAUUCUUGCAGGGAGGAAAGAUGAAGCAUCCACGGAGCUAAGUGACAUUAAUGCAGAAAUCAAUGACAGUCUUAGUAAGGCGGUGGCUCACAAGGAAACAUCCAAAUGAGAUUCAGUCUUAUUGAUGUACAUUCAUUUCAGUCUCCUUAGAGUGGUUUCAUAUUCUUUGCAAGCGCAGGCGACAUCACAUGUUAUUUUCGGAUCAUUGACUCAAGGGAUACAUCUUACGUGAAGCUAGUUCCUCGUACAGCAGUUGGGCCUUGGAAAGAGUUGUGGAGCAUCAAUGAUCGAUUUACCAGUUACCACCACGGAUUCUCACAUUUCUUUGGACAUGCUUAAAUCAUUGUUUACCAAACAGUGCUAACAUGAUGGCAAGGCAUAAUCCCAAUAGGGAGGGUCCGAGGCUGGCCAUUGAAGAAGGAAUCAAAUUAAUUUGGUUAGAGGGAGAUGCACAAUAGAUUAUUAAUUUCUUGUUGGACCAAUCCUUAGAGAUCCCUUGGCGGCUACAUCAUGUUUUGGCCGAUUGCAGGAACCUGUUGCAUGAUUUUGAUCAAUAUCGCAUCUCCUUCAUUCAUCGUACGAGUAAUGUUGUGGCUCAUUGUUUGGCCAAACAUGCCUGUUCUAUUUGAAUGUUUCUCCUUCAUUUCCUUUACCUGU